rnacentral:rRNA from 1 species
AGGACGAACGCUGGCGGCGUGCUUAACACAUGCAAGUCGAGCGGAAAGGCCCUUCGGGGUACGUCGAGCGGCGAACGGGUGAGUAACACGUGAGCAACCUGCCCUUAGCUCUGGGAUAGCUCCGGGAAACCGGAAAUUAAUACCGGAUAUUACACCGGCUGGCAUCGGCUGGUGUGGAAAGAUUUAUCGGCUAAGGAUGGACUCGCGGCCUAUCAGCUUGUUGGUGGGGUAGAAGCCUACCAAGGCGACGACGGGUA